rnacentral:rRNA from 1 species
UACGUAGGUGGCGAGCGUUUGUCCGGGAUUUAUUGGGCGUAAAGGGCGCGCAGGUGGUGCGGUGAAGGCUGCCGUGAAAUCUCCCGGCUCAACUGGGAGGUGCGGUGGCGACUGCCGGACUGGAGGCACUCAGAGGCCGGUGGAAUUCCCGGUGUAGUGGUGAAAUGCGUAGAGAUCGGGAGGAACACCAGUGGCGAAGGCGGCCGGCUGGGGGUGACCUGACGCUGAGGAGCGAAAGCGUGGGGAGCGAACAGG